rnacentral:rRNA from 1 species
AUUGAACGCUGGCGGCAGGCUUAACACAUGCAAGUCGAGCGGGGUGAUGGUGCUUGCACUAUCACUUAGCGGCGGACGGGUGAGUAAUGCUUAGGAAUCUGCCUAUUAGUGGGGGACAACAUCUCGAAAGGGAUGCUAAUACCGCAUACGUCCUACGGGAGAAAGCAGGGGAACUUUAUGACCUUGCGCUAAUAGAUGAGCCUAAGUCGGAUUAGCUAGUUGGUGGGGUAAAGGCCUACCAAGGCGACGAUCUGUAGCGGGUCUGAGAGGAUGAUCCGCCACACUGGGACUGAGACACGGCCCAGACUCCUACGGGAGGCAGCAGUGGGGAAUAUUGGACAAUGGGGGGAACCCUGAUCCAGCCAUGCCGCGUGUGUGAAGAAGGCCUUAUGGUUGUAAAGCACUUUAAGCGAGGAGGAGGCUCUUUUGGUUAAUACCCAGAAUGAGUGGACGUUACUCGCAGAAUAAGCACCGGCUAACUCUGUGCCAGCCGCCGCCGUAAUAC